rnacentral:rRNA from 1 species
AACGAACGCUGGCGGCAGGCCUAACACAUGCAAGUCGAACGCUGCAGCAAUGCAGAGUGGCAGACGGGUGAGUAACGCGUGGGAACCUUCCCAGUGGUACGGAAUAGCCCAGGGAAACUUGGGGUAAUACCGUAUAAGCCCCUAGGGGGAAAGAUUUAUCGCCAUUGGAUGGGCCCGCGUCGGAUUAGCUAGUUGGUGAGGUAACGGCUCACCAAGGCGACGAUCCGUAGCUGGUCUGAGAGGAUGAUCAGCCACACUGGGACUGAGACACGGCCCAGACUCCUACGGGAGGCAGCAGUGGGGAAUAUUGGACAAUGGGCGCAAGCCUGAUCCAGCCAUGCCGCGUGAGUGACGAAGGCCUUAGGGUUGUAGAGCUCUUUUGGCGGGGACGAUAAUGACGGUACCCGCAGAAUAAGCUCCGGCUAACUUCGUGCCAGCAGCCGCGGUAAUAC